AAACUUUCAACAACGGAUCUCUUGGUUCUCGCAUCGAUGAAGAACGCAGCGAAAUGCGAUAAGUAGUGUGAAUUGCAGAAUUCAGUGAAUCAUCGAAUCUUUGAACGCACAUUGCGCCUCCUGGCUAUUCCGGGAGGCAUGCCUGUUCGAGCGUCAUUA
rnacentral:rRNA from 1 species